AACGAACGCUGGCGGCAUGCCUAACACAUGCAAGUCGAACGAUGCCUUCGGGCAUAGUGGCGCACGGGUGCGUAACGCGUGGGAAUCUGCCUUUCUGUUCGGAAUAACUCAGGGAAACUUGAGCUAAUACCGGAUAACGUCGCAAGACCAAAGAUUUAUCACCGAAAGAUGAGCCCGCGUAGGAUUAGCUAGUUGGUGAGGUAAAGGCUCACCAAGGCGACGAUCCUUAGCUGGGCUGAGAGGAUGAUCAGCCACACUGGGACUGAGACACGGCCCAGACUCCUACGGGAGGCAGCAGUGGGGGAUAUUGGAAAAUGGGCGAAAGCAUGAUCCAGCACUGACGGGUGAGUGAUGAAGGCAUUAGGGUUGUAAAGCUCUUUUACCCGGGAAGAUAAUGACGGUACCGGGAGAAUAAGCCCCGGCUAACUCCGUG
rnacentral:rRNA from 1 species